rnacentral:misc_RNA from 1 species
GAAGAUUUCCCAAUGGCCAUCCCUAAGACAACUCUCAUCUUUGCAAUCCUUUGCAUCCUUCUGCUACAUGAGCUCAAGAUCAAUGUAGUUGAAGCUCAAAAAAUAGAUUGCAAGUCCAAAUGUGAUUACAGGUGCAGCAAGGCAUCAAGGCACAAGAUGUGCAUAAGGGCAUGCAAUACAUGCUGUCAGAGGUGCAAUUGUGUCCCUCCAGGAACUGCCGGAAAUGCUGAUGUUUGCCCUUGCUAUGCCAAUAUGACCACCCAUGGAGGAAGGAAGAAGUGCCCUUAAUUGAAUUUAUAUGUAUAAAUCCAUUUCCAUAACUACAUCUCUAUCUCUUUAUACUACAAGUAGAAGAAGAAGAAUAAGACUUGGAGAACACAACAGACACUGAGAAAGGACUUGCAUGCUUGUCAGUGCUAUAUUUCCAAGAAUAUGAAGAACUGAAAAGACUGCUAGGAAUCAGCAAAACUAAUAUCAAUAUUUCUUUACUAUAAAGCAUUUCCCUUUUUGUAAUUCUGGAUUCAGUAUUCCAACUCUUUUCUAAUCAUGAUAGCAUUUUCUACACUUCUGCUUCUUUCUAAGUUACUGAUCCUCUAGCAGUGAAUGAUUUCAAGAACAAGAUAGCAAUUGCAUAAGAUGGAUCCAGCUCUUUUGCUCUUAUAUAAAGAAAGGAAUAUAAUAUACAUAUAUAAAUUAAUUACAAAAAAGAAUAAAAUUUGCUUCUCAAGUUCUUCAACAAUCCCUUUCACAAAGUAGGAUUGAAAGGUAAUCCAAGCACAUAUAGCUUGAUCUUAUUCCCUUAUUGAUCGUAUAAUUAUUUUAUUAUCUAGAGAUUAAUAAAAAGGCAUUUGAUCAAGAUUAUAUUAUUUAUAAAUAGUGGGAUGAAAUUCAAGGGCACUUGGGCUUAUUUCCAUGGGUUCUGAGACUUGCAUAACAUGGACACGCUUGCUUGUUGCCAUAGGUACCUGGAGGAACACACUGGCACCUCUGGCAGCAAGUUCUACAUGCUCUAUGGCACACAUUCUUUCUUGAUGAAUCCUUGCAUCUCCUUGAGCAUGCAUAGCCACAGUGAGUCUCUUUGCUUACUACUUUUAAAUUUCUGAAAUUGGGUCCAAUGAUUCCUUUAUUUUUCACCAGUCCUGUGAGGCUAAACAAAGCUCCAAGUAGAAGGAAAAAGAAAAGAGGUGAAAUGAUUUCAAUUGGGUGUCACAUUUUGUAAUUAAAUUCCCCUUUUGGAUGCAGAUUGAUGUAGGAAGUGAUGUAAUUGCCAUUGACAAGAAACAUC